GGUAUAAUUGCAUAACUGGUAAAAAACAAAAACAAAAAAAGCUGACAAAAAAUAAAGGAGACGGAAAAAAGUGAGAGUGUGUGAUUUCCGAAGCUCCGCCCCCUUCAUUUAUAACAACAGCUGUGUCAUCGUCAGCCAGGAUUUCAGUAGGAGUAGAAGAAGAAAAGUAGGUGUUAGAAGUAGAAGUAGAAGAAGUCGGUGUUAUUCUUCACAGCUAGCUGUUUCUGUUGGAGUGUGUUCGUGUGUGAACGGAGCACUAAUGUCGGCCGUGGGACCCAACAUGCAGAGCGUCACAUGUGACCUGGGGCGUCCGUGCCACCUCACGUGCACACAUCGUUUAUCAGGCAUCACUGACCUGAACUGGGUGAAGUAUUCUGGUUCCCAUCCACGUCUUUAUGGAGACCACGGUGACGAGGAGACGUUCAUCCACCCUGACUACAGGGGGAAGCUGUCUGUGAGCAGGUACGGGGAGUCUGAACAUGGUCUGGUGUCUGACCUGUGUCUGAAGGAGCCUGGGGUCCACUCUGAGUCUGUGUACCUCAGCCAGGCCAGGAACCAUUUAGACCAGUUCAGCCACUGCUUCCUCAACCUCACAGUGAAAGCGCCAGUGGUGGACAUUGACAUCAGGAAAGAGAGGAACCAGAUCGUCUGCCGCUCAAAGAAAAACUAUCCCGAGCCUCAGCUGGAGUGGCUUCUCGACCCUUUCUGGGAAAAUGCGAACAAAUCCAAGUUGGUGCAGCGUGACCCGGACGGACUGUUGAGCGUGCAGAACUUCCUGGACCUCCCACACUCAGAGGAAGUGGACGGAAACCACGCCGUCAGCUGUGUCGUCAGCAGGGACCAUGACUGGAAGAGGGGCACGUGGACCCAACGGGCUCUCCUCACCUCCCCCGAUGUCGACCCCUGGAUCCCGUGCGUUCCAGACUCCAAUGAGACGUUCCACAGCGUCACCUGGACAUUCAACCAGGAGCAUCACAUCCUGUCACAGAACGGCAGCAGCAAAGCUUCACUCGUGGUGUCCGACGAUUGGAAGGAGAACGUGAAGGACGUGUCUGCGUGGGGCGACCUGCAGCUCAACGCUUUCAGUCCAGAGAAGGAGGGGCUCUACACCUGCGUGGCCAAAGGUGCAGCGGACACUUUCGUUACCGACACCAUCCUGAAUGUGGACCAAGGGAACCCCAUGCUGCCUUGGUUUCUUAUAUUUUUCCUGGGAGCGUUCAUCCUCCUGGUCGUCCUGAAGAACUUUAUCUGUGGCUCGAGGAACAACGCUGGAGGCAUGUGGUGUAGGAGACGUACGCAGAAUAACAUUCAUUCUUCUUUAUGGAUGUCCUGAUCCAAUCAUCGUGUAGCGACAAACCGACGGUGACGAGUAAAGUCUUUAUUGAAGACUCCGCCUCCUUCACCAGAACAAAAAACCACUGGAUUCCAACUGGUCCAUAUUAGGAAAUGUGAAAUGUUUCAGAUCCAGCUUUUCCCAAACGGAGACCAGCCGUCACGUCCUCAUCAUCACACAUUAAAGUUCUCGUGAACAGGUGGAGUUGUUCACACUGAAACAUGCUAGUAGCUCUGUUGCUGUAGCUUUUAGUUGAUAAUUAAGUUUCCUUUCAUAUGUUUUGCUCAUGCUUGGUAGGAAUUCUUUAUUUCUUCUCAUGUUUGUCACAACAGUCGUCCCAGCCUUACAGAUUCAUAGCGUUCACACUUUAUUUAUUUACGCUGUUUACAAAGAGUUUUUGGUAACAACCGUCAAAGUUAAACUCUUGUAGUUGGAACCCAUCAUCCUAAUUGUUUACAUGUGUGCAGUUUCGACACUCAAUAGUUUUGUGAGUCUUAGCCACGGUUUUCCGAUAUUUGUAACAUUCCCCGUUCCCGCGCUGCAUCCCGUGAACCUCGUUUGUCACUGUGUGGUAACCAGGCAAUGCUAGUCUGAUAUUUUACUUUUUUAUUUUUACUUCAAGUUUAGGAAGAAGGUCAUCACUCCCCAAACAGUCAGAUUUGCUAGCAUGCUAUCAAAUUAGACUAACAAGCAGUUCUAAAACACUAGCCUAGCAUCCAUCCAUCCAAGAAACUAUUUUUAUUCACAUUCCCCACGGCACCAAAAAUGUUGCGUUUAUUUUCUGGGAUGGUUGGAAGUUAAAUCCUGACAAACUGUGAAAAGCGUUCGCGAGGAGGUGCUAACGUUAGCCUAGCCGCACGUGCUGCCUUUUUAUCGUCAUCACAUUGUGCCUUAGACAGGUUAAUCCAUGGUUUCUCAACCAUUUUUUAAAAUGAAGUGAGAGGAAGUAGCAUUUUGUCCUUUCAAAAUAAAAGCCUGUAGAUGGCUGGGAACCUUGGAUUA
rnacentral:lncRNA from 1 species